GUGUUUUUAUUUUGUCAUGGUUAUUCAGCAGCGAGGUAUAGAGUUCCUACGUUGAUUUCAAAUAGUAGGAACUUCUUACCGUGCUCUUGGACUUGCCUAAAUAUCAUCAUUCCCCGUAACAAAUGGAUGAUCUUCAAGAUGGAGACAAUCUGGGUGACAAUGGAAGAGCUACGACUACGGCUAAUCCUAAUUGUGGUUCCACUAAUAAAUUCCAUAAAUAUCUGGGACACAAUUCUAGAGAGGUGUCAUUCAUCCACUUGGAUGAAAAUCACCGAGGGAAGCUGACAGCAGAUCAUCGCCAAGGGUCGAUAGGACCAGUUCAACAUGCGAGUGACCGCUACAGGGAGAGAAAAAUUGCUUAAAAAUUACAGUUACGAGCUUUUUCAAUUAACUUUCAGGAAAAAAUUACGGAACAGCCCAAUUGUGAUCGUCUCCGUGAUAUUGGAGAAUUGAUAAAUCAAUAAAUAUUUACCGGGGCCGAACAAAUUCUCGAUCAUUAUCAUAAUUUUUGUAAGCUGUCACUAUUUUUGGAUUCAAUGUCAACCAACGAAGGUGUUAGCAAUUGUGUGGACAUUUGUAAUAUAUUUACAUACUUUAGUAGAUAUAAUAGAUUUUAUUCUAGUUCCCCGGUACAGGUUACGCCUGUAAAUAUAACAGCUAAAUUUCCUGGUGUUGCAAGUAACACGACUUUACGUUCGCAAACUUUCCCCAUAAAAUAUCAAUAAAAUUCGCAAUCAAUUGAAGUCCUACAUAUUUUCAAUCUAUUUGAUUAAUUAUUUGCAAUAAAAUAAGUUGUCUGACGAAAUAUGAAUGAAUAGCAGUAGUUGUGUUGAUAUAUCUUCUUCAUCGGAGCAACUACAAGACUUUGGAGUAGAACACUCAACAAUAAUUCAUGGACUGCAAAAUACGAAAAUGUUUCCUUCCUCCUCUCAGGACAUCAGCGGAGUGUCUCAUACUUUCCCUUUGCUUGAUCAUCCUUGAUGCAAGGUUCAAAUAAUUCCAUCUGUCACCCGA